rnacentral:misc_RNA from 1 species
GGGCAUGUGCACGCUCUGUUCACACAUCCACUCACACCUGUGCACCCUCCGUAGUUCUAUGGUCUGGGGGACACCCUGUCUUCCUCCUGUAGUUCUAUGUCUUUACAUGUACACCGUAGCAAAGUCUUAUGGAAUGUGCACCGCGUUUAACGCAAUACAAUACAACUUUCAGCAACGGAUCUCUUGGCUCUCGCAUCGAUGAAGAACGCAGCGAAAUGCGAUAAGUAAUGUGAAUUGCAGAAUUCAGUGAAUCAUCGAAUCUUUGAACGCACCUUGCGCCCCUUGGCUAUUCCGAGGGGCAUGCCUGUUUGAGUAUCAUGAACACCUCAACUCUCAUGGUUUGCCAUGAUGAGCUUGGAUUUUGGGGGUUUUGCUGGCCUGUGGUCAGCUCCUCUCAAACGGAUCAGCUUACCAGUGUUUGGUGGCGUCACAGGUGUGAUAACUAUCUACGCUUGUGUUUGUCUGCUGAGUAACCUUUGGUGACAGAGGUUUGCUGGAGCUUAUAAAUGUCUUUC